AAUCAACGCUGGCGGCGUGCCUCAGACAUGCAAGUCGAACGAUUAAAGCUCUCUUCGGAGAGUGCAUAGAGUGGCGCACGGGUGAGUAACACGUAAGUAAUCUACCUUCGAGUGGGGAAUAACGUCCGGAAACGGACGCUAAUACCGCAUAAUGCAGCGGCAUCGCAAGAUGACAGUUGUUAAAGAUUUAUCGCUUGAAGAGGAGCUUGCGGCAGAUUAGCCAGUUGGUAAGGUAAUGGCUUACCAAGGCUACGAUCUGUAACCGGUCUUAGAGGACGGUCGGUCACACUGACACUGAAGAACGGGUCAGACUCCUACGGGAGGCAGCAGUCGGGAAUUUUGGGCAAUGGGCGAAAGCCUGACCCAGCAACGCCGCGUGAAGGAUGAAGUAUUUCGGUAUGUAAACUUCGAAAGAAUGGGAAGAAUAAAUGACGGUACCAUUUAUAAGGUCCGGCUAACUACGUGCCAGCCGCCGCAGUAAAAC
rnacentral:rRNA from 1 species